GACGAACGCUGGCGGCGUGCCUAAUACAUGCAAGUAGAACGCUGAAGGAGGAGCUUGCUUCUCUGGAUGAGUUGCGAACGGGUGAGUAACGCGUAGGUAACCUGCCUGGUAGCGGGGGAUAACUAUUGGAAACGAUAGCUAAUACCGCAUAAUAGUAGAUGUUGCAUGACAUUUGCUUAAAAGGUGCAAUUGCAUCACUACCAGAUGGACCUGCGUUGUAUUAGCUAGUUGGUGAGGUAACGGCUCACCAAGGCAACGAUACAUAGCCGACCUGAGAGGGUGAUCGGCCACACUGGGACUGAGACACGGCCCAGACUCCUACGGGAGGCAGCAGUAGGGAAUCUUCGGCAAUGGACGGAAGUCUGACCGAGCAACGCCGCGUGAGUGAAGAAGGUUUUCGGAUCGUAAAGCUCUGUUGUAAGAGAAGAACGAGUGUGAGAGGGAAAGUCACACCGUGACGGU
rnacentral:rRNA from 1 species